GGGGCGUGGCUUGGGAGCUCACCUUUCUUACCCUCUUUCAGGUGACCGAGAGAGAAAAGUGGCGUCGGAGAUCCCCGGAUCUACUAAGUGUGAUCUGUACUGAGCCGUCAUUAUGAAAUCAAUAACGAGAAGGGAUUAUGAUCGGGUUAACGCCAGCGGAAUGUGACAGGAGAAGUUUGUCAGGUGUGGAAGAAAAAAACCUCUGGACACUGAAGGCGAAAAUCCCCUUGACUAGAUCUCAAUCUACAUUAUCUCAAAAGUGCUCCAGAACCCUCUGAAGAUGUGGAUAUUUUCCGCUUUACGAAAUACUGUGUCUCCUGAAGCCGCUUUCAGCAGUAGUCUGGUUGAGGUUGGCAGUGUCUAAAGCUACUUUG